rnacentral:rRNA from 1 species
GACGAACGCUGGCGGCGUGCUUAACACAUGCAAGUCGAACGGAAAGGCCCUGCUUUUGUGGGGUGCUCGAGUGGCGAACGGGUGAGUAACACGUGAGUAACCUGCCCCUGACUUUGGGAUAACUCCAGGAAACUGGGGCUCAUACCGGAUAGGAGCUCUUGCUGCAUGGUGGGGGAUGGUAAGUUUCGGCGGUUGGGGAUGGACUCGCGGCUUAUCAGCUUGUUGGUGGGGUAGUGACUUACCAAGGCUUUGACGGGUAGCCGGCCUGAGAGGGUGACCGGCCUCAUUGGGACUGAGAUACGGCCCAGACUCCUACGGGAGGCAGAAGUGGGGAAUAUUGCACAAUGGGCGGAAGCCUGAUGCAGCAACGCCGCGUGCGGGAUAACGGGCUUCGGGUUGUAAACCGAUUUCGCCUGUGACGAAGCGUGAGUGACGGUAAUGGGUAAGGAAGCACCGGCUAACUACGUG